rnacentral:rRNA from 1 species
CCUACGGGAGGCAGCAGUGAGGAAUAUUGGUCAAUGGACGAGAGUCUGAACCAGCCAAGUAGCGUGAAGGAUGACUGCCCUAUGGGUUGUAAACUUCUUUUAUAUGGGAAUAAAACAGGGUAUGCAUACCCUCUUGUAUGUACCAUAUGAAUAAGGAUCGGCUAACUCCGUGCCAGCAGCCGCGGUAAUGCGGAGGAUCCGAGCGUUAUCCGGAUUUAUUGGGUUUAAAGGGAGCGUAGGUGGAUUGUUAAGUCAGUUGUGAAAGGUUGAGGAUCAACAGUAACAGUGCAGUUGAAACUGGCAGUCGUGAGUAGAGUAGAGGUGUGGGGAAAUCGUGGUGGAGGGGUGAAAUGCUGAG